rnacentral:misc_RNA from 1 species
GUAGGUGAACCUGCGGAAGGAUCAUUAUCGAAUUUGGAUCCGAAGGGGAAGGACGAGCGAGCGAAGUUUGCGGAAGUGUUUAGAGAUUCGUAGCUGGCCUUUUGGAAACGAAGGCAUGUGCACGUCUCGACCCUCUGCUUAGUCCUCGUUCUCUUUCCUUUCGUAAAUCUUUGACACCCGUGCACCUCUUGUAGGUCCCUGCGAGGGGACCUAUGUCUUCAUAAACUCUUCGUAUGUCCAGGAAUGUAUC